GACGAACGCUGGCGGCGUGCUUAACACAUGCAAGUCGAGCGGUAAGGCCCUUUCGGGGGUACACGAGCGGCGAACGGGUGAGUAACACGUGGGUGACCUGCCCUCAGCUCUGGGAUAAGCCUGGGAAACCGGGUCUAAUACCGGAUAUGACUCCAUGACGCAUGUUGUGGGGUGGAAAGCCUUGUGCGGCUGAGGAUGGGCCCGCGCCUAUCAGCUUGUUGGUGGGGUGAUGGCCUACCAAGGCGACGACGGGUAGCCGGCCUGAGAGGGCGACCGGCCACACUGGGACUGAGACACGGCCCACGACUCCUACGGGAGGGCAGCAGUGGGGAAUCUUGCGCAAUGGGCGAAAGCCUGACGCAGCGACGCCGCGUGAGGGAUGAC
rnacentral:rRNA from 1 species